GCCAGUGAUCUCAUGGACAGCAGCCCCCUAAGGAACAUUGGAAGAGGCAAACAUGGCAAAAUCAAGAAACCACGUGGGGGACUUCUUGGAGGAGUUCAGAGAGCAGAUCAUUGCGCAGGUGAGAUUAUCUGGGCCCAUAGUAGACGCUGUGAUCUCACAACAUCUUAUCCCAGAAGAGCUGGCACACAGCGUCCGUGCAGCCCAGACCACACAAGACCAGAUGAGGGCUCUGUUUGAAGCCGUAGAGAGAGAGACACCACAAACCAAACUUGCAUUCCAUCUGAUAUUGAGACGGAAAGAGCCUGAACUCAUGGACAAGCUAGAGCAGAGACAACGAAACAGUAAGAUGACACAGACAGGAUUGGAUCAAAGGUAUGGAGAUACCACAACAUUAGAGGAUAAGACCACACCAAAACUUGGCAUACAGACAAAAAAGGAAUCUCUUAAGAGACGAAGACAAGAAACAAUGCAAGCAAUUGAGGAGAUUGAAAAACUUUGGGAGGGGUCAAGAAGGGAGAGAAAUGAAACUAACUACAUGAAAGCAAAGAUUAAGCAACAACAAGAGGAAAUAGAAAGGCUAAUGGCUGAGAAACAAGAGCAAAACACAAAGAUGGAGCUGAUGAGGAUGGAGAUCCAGAAUGUGAAUGAAAAACUGAAACAGAACAUGGAGGAAAUAAAUAUAGAGAAAGACGGAAUACGACAAAUGUGGGCUGAUGUCCAAACAGAGAAAGACAUUCUGGAGAGAAGAUACAAUGAGACCAUUAACGAGAGACAGAGUUUGGAAUUGAUCAAGUAUGAGACAUUGAGAGCAAAAGAGGAGAUGGAGCACUGCAAGGAAACAACCAAACAAGAGCAGGAGAAAAUGGAACAGAUUAAGGCUGACAUUCAGGGACAGAUAGAGGACAUGGAAAUAAGAAUUGCAGAAACCAAUCAAGUAAAAGAAAAAAUGGAAGCGAUGAAGGCCGAUGUACACAGGGAGCAAGGUCAGCUGGAGACAAAAAGAGAUGACAUUAAAAGACAAAAAGAACAGUUUGAGCAGAUUAAAUGUGAGAUAAACAAAGUAAAAGAAGAGAUGGAUCGAAGGUGGUAUGAAACGGAGAAAGAAGAGCUUGAGCAGAGAGUUAGGAUCCAGCAAGAGAAAGAGGAACUUGCCAACGUAAAAGCUGAGCUGCAGAGAGCAAAAGAGGAGGUUGAUCAAAACAGGGAGAAGACGAAGCAAGAGAAGGACCUGGUCAACAAAAUGAAAGCAGAAAUUCUUCUAGAAAAGGAUUCACUUGAGAAGGACAAACAAGAAACAUUACGAAAACAAAAGGAGUUGGAGCAGAUCAAGUAUGCGAUUCAAAUGGACAAAGAGGAGAUUGAGCAAAACAGAGAGGAAGCAAAGCGAGAGAAUGAUAAGAUGGAACAGAGGGAAGCUGAACUGCAGAGACAAGUGGAAAAGAUUGAGAGAAACAUUGAGGAGACAAAGCAAGAAAAUUACAGAAUGGAAAACGUAAAAGCAGAGAUACAGAGAACGAAAGAAGCCCUGGAGAAACAAAAAGAUGACACCAGGCGAGUGAAGGAGGAAAUGGAGAAAAGAAGGUAUGAGACUGUCAAGGAGGAGCUGGAGCAGAGAGCUGAAAUACAGAGACAGAGAGAAGAAGUGGAAAUGCUCAAGUCUGAAAUGCAGAAAGCCAAGGACGUUGAAAAAACAAGAGGAAACCGAGAGAGAGAGGAAGCCAAAAAGUGGAGUGAAGAAGUAAAACGACAGAGAGAUGGGAUCAAACAAUUGAGAGCUGAAGUUCAGAAGGAAAAAGACAACGUGGAGAGGAAAAAGCAAGAGACAAUGAGAGAGAGACAAGAAUUGGAGAGGAUUCAUUUUGAAACGCUGAGAAUGAAAGAGGAGAAUGAGCAAAGCAGGGAGAUCACAAGAAGAGAAAAGGAGCAAAUGGAGCAGAUGAAAGUUAAUAUACAGAGACAGAUAGAAGAUAUAGAAGAAAAAGUUACAGAGACAAAACAAGCAAAAGACAAAAUGGAAGAAAUGAAAGCAGAGAUACAGAGACAACGUGAAGAUUUGGAGAGUAGAAGGGAAAAGACAGAGAAAGAGAGAGCGCAUUAUGAAGAGGUUAAGUGUGAGAUAAUUCAAUUGAAAGAGGAAAUGGAAAGGAAAUGGUGUGAAACAGAGAAAGACGAGGUGGAACAGAGAGCAAGAGCGCAGCAAGAGACGGAAACACUUGAAAGGUUGAAGGAGGAAAAACAGAAAGUGCGAGAGGAAAUAGAAAGAAACAAGGUGGAAACGCAACGAGAAAGAGAGAACCUAGAAAAAAUGAAAGCCCGUGUGAAAGACGAGAAGAACAUUGCAGAGAAAAUAUCAGAAGAGGCCAAGAUAAAGAAUGAGGACUUAACGGAAAUGGAGCGUAACCUUCAGGAAGAAAGGGAAGAGAUCGAGAGGAGCAAGCAAGUCACAAAGCAAGAGAAGGAAGAGAUCGUAGAGAUGAAGGCUGAACUCCAAAGACAAAUGACAGAAAUAGAGAACCGUGUGAAGGAGACAAACAGAGCAAAAUAUGAGGUGGAUCAGGCAAAGCUGGUCGUACAAAAAGUGGAGUCCCAGCUGAAAAAGCAAAGAGACGAGGCUGGAAGAACAAAAGAGGAAAUUGAGAAACAGAGAUAUGAAGCAGUGAAAGAAGAGCUUGAGCAACGAGCUGAAAUCCAACGAGAAAGAGAAAUGUUGGAGAAAGUAAGAGACGAGAUACGGAGAGCCGAAGAAGACUCCGAAAAAACACAGCUUCAGAGCGAAAAAGGGGACUUACAAAAGAAGAUGGAUGAAAUACAGCAAGAGAGGGAGAUGCUUGAGCAAAUUAAAACAGAGGUUUUGUCAGAAAGGGCCAUGUUGAAAAGACAAAUCCAUGAAACCGCAAGAGAAAGAGAGGACUUGGAAUUGCUUCGGUGUGAGACCCUGGAGAAAAAGCUGGAGCUUGAGAAAAAGAAGGAUGAAGCUGUCAAGGAAGAGCUUGAACUGAGAGCUGAAAUGCAGAGAGAUAGAGAGGAGAUAGAGAGAACCAAGAAGAAAAUAGAGAGGGAGUUAAAACAAGGCAGGGAUGCCACAAGUCUAGAGAGAGGCGAAGUGGAACUGAUGAAGGUUGAAGUACAGAACCAGCAUGAGGAAAUGACUAGAUCCAUUGAGAGGACAAGGCAAGCCAGAGACGUGAUGGAACAGAUGAAGGAUGAAAUUCAGAGAGAAAAACAACUUUUGGAGAGAAUAAGGGAAGAAACAAUAAGAGAGAAAGAACCCUAUGAAACGGUCAAGGAUGAGCUAAACAGAGUAAAAGAAGAGAUGGAAAAACUCUGGGACGAGGUACAGAGGGACGACCAGGAAGAGAGAGCCAAACUGCAUCAAGAAAAUGUGGAGCUGAAUAAGAGAAUGGAGGAAAUUAAGACAGAGAUUAGCCAGAUAGAAACAAUUAAAUUUGACCUAGAGAGACAGAGAGAUGAGAUUGAAGCAAGGAUGGAGAAGACAAAGAGAGAGAUGGACAAGCUGGAACAAACAAAGGCUGAAAUACAAAGACAGAAAGAGGACAUUGAAAACAAGAUGACAGAAACAAAGAGUGAGAAAGAGGAGAUGGAAAAGAUCAAAUCUGAGAUACAGAAGCAGAAAGAGGACAUUGAAAACAAAAUGCAACAAGCAGAGACAGAAAUGGAUGAGCUGAAAAGUGUGAGGGAAGAUAUUCAGAGGCAGAGACAAGAGGUUGAGAACAUGAUGCAGAAGGCCAAGAGAGAGAUUGGAGAGAUGGAACUAGUGAAGACUGAGAUGCAAAGGAAGAAAAAGGACCUUGAACAGAUGAUGAGAAAGACUAAGAGAAAAAAGGAAGAAAUGGAAAAGAUGAAGGAUGAAAUAGAGAGAGCGGAAGAAGAGAUGGAACAAAGAAGGGAAGAGACCAAAAGGGAGAGAGAUGCAAUUGAACAGGCGAAGGCUGAAAUAGAAAGAGCAAAAGAGGAACUGGAGAUUCGUCUGGAAGAGGGCUUUAGAGAUAUUGAUGAGAAGGAACAGAUGAACGCUGAGAUACAGAGAUUAAUCCAAGAGGUAGAGCGAACCAGAGAAAUGGUACGACAAACAAAAGUGGCAAUGGAAAACAGGAUGGAAGAAAGCAAUAUGGAGAUGUGUGACAAAGACAGAGUGAAUGCUGUAAUCCAGAGGUUGAUUCUAGAGGUGGAACAAACCAGAGAGGUGUUAAGAAGGGUGAAAGAAGAAAUGGAACUGAGCAAGGGGGAGUUAAAAGGGGAAAAGGACAAAAUCAGACUGAUGAAGACGGAGACACAAAAAAGAAAAAAAGAGCUGGAGCAAAGGAUGGAGAAGAUCAUGCGAGAGAGGGAUGAGUUAGAACUGGUGAAGUCAAAGAUACAGAGACAACGGGAAGAGCUGAAACAGAAGAUGGAAGAUGGAAAGACUGAGAGUGAAAAGAUGGAACAGAUGAAAGAUGAAAUUGAGAAACAGAGAUGUGAACAACGAGCUGAAAUCCAAAGAGAAAGAGAAAUGUUGGAGAAAGUAAGAGACGAGAUACGGAGAGCCGAAGACGAUUCCGAAGAAAUACAGUUUCAGAGCGAAAAAGGGGACUUACAAAAGAAGAUGGAUGAAACAAAGCAAGAGAGGGAGAUGCUUGAGCAAAUUAAAACAGAGGUUUUGUCAGAAAGGGCCAUGUUGAAAAGACAAAUCCAUGAAACCACAAGAGAAAGAGAGGACUUGGAAUUGCUUCGGUGUGAAACCCUGAAGAAAAAGCUGGAGCUUGAGAAAAAGCAGGAGGAAGCUGUCAAGGAAGAGCUUGAACUGAGAGCUGAAAUACAGAGAGAUAGAGAAGAGAUAGAGAGAACCAAGAAGAAAAUAGAGAGGGAGUUAAAACAAGGCAGGGAUGCCACAAGUCUAGAGAGAGGCGAAGUGGAACGGAUGAAGGUUGAAGUACAGAACCAGCAUGAGGAAAUGACUAGAUCCAUUGAGAGGACAAGGCAAGCCAGAGACGUGAUGGAACAGAUGAAGGAUGAAAUUCAGAGAGAAAAACAACUUUUGGAGAGAAUAAGGGAAGAAACAAUAAGAGAGAAAGAACCCUAUGAAACGGUCAAGGAUGAGCUAAGCAGAGUAAAAGAAGAGAUGGAAAAACUCUGGGACGAGGUACAGAGGGACGAGCAGGAAGAGAGAGCCAAACUGCAUCGAGAUAAUGUGGAGCUGAAUAAGAGAAUGGAGGAAAUUAAGACAGAGAUUAACCAGAUAGAAACAAUUAAAUUUGACCUAGAGAGACAGAGAGAUGAGAUUGAAGCAAGGAUGGAGAAGACAAUGAGAGAGAUGGACAAGCUGGAACAAACAAAGGCUGAAAUACAAAGACAGAAAGAGGACAUUGAAAACAAGAUGACAGAAACAAAGAGUGAGAAAGAGGAGAUGGAAAGGAUCAAAUCUGAGAUACAGAAGCAGAAAGAGGAAAUUGAAAACAAAAUGCAACAAGCAGAGACAGAAAUGGAUGAGCUGAAAAGUGUGAGGGAAGAUAUUCAGAGGCAGAGACAAGAGGUCGAGAACAUGAUGCAGAAGACCAAGAGAGAGAUUGGAGAGAUGGAACUAGUGAAGACUGAGAUGCAAAGGAAGAAAAAGGACCUUGAACAGAUGAUGAGAAAGACUAAGAGAAAAAGGGAAGAAAUGGAAAAGAUGAAGGAUGAAAUAGAGAGAGCGGAAGAAGAGAUGGAACAAAGAAGGGAAGAGACCAAAAGGGAGAGAGAUGCAAUUGAACAGGCGAAGGCUGAAAUAGAAAGAGCAAAAGAGGAACUGGAGAUUCGUCUGGAAGAGGGCUUUAGAGAUAUUGAUGAGAAGGAACAGAUGAACGCUGAGAUACAGAGAUUAAUCCAAGAGGUAGAGCGAACCAGAGAAAUGGUACGACAAACAAAAGUGGCAAUGGAAAACAGGAUGGAAGAAAGCAAUAUGGAGAUGGGUGACAAAGACAGAGUGAAUGCUGUAAUCCAGAGGUUGAUUCUAGAGGUGGAACAAACCAGAGAGGUGUUAAGAAGGGUGAAAGAAGAAAUGGAACUGAGCAAGGGGGAGUUAAAAGGGGAAAAGGACAAAAUCAGACUGAUGAAGACGGAGACACAAAAAAGAAAAAAAGAGCUGGAGCAAAGGAUGGAGAAGAUCAUGCGAGAGAGGGAUGAGUUAGAACUGGUGAAGUCAAAGAUACAGAGACAACGGGAAGAGCUGAAACAGAAGAUGGAAGAUGGAAAGACUGAGAGUGAAAAGAUGGAACAGAUGAAAGAUGAAAUACAGAGAGCGGUUGCAGAGAUAGACCUGGCAAGGGAGGAGAUACAAAGGGAAAAAAGGAAGAUUAAAGAGGACAAUGCAAGGGAAGAGAAGGAUAUGAUGGAGUCUAUGAAAGCUGAGCUUGACAGACAGAAAGAGGGAAAAAACAGAAGGAAAAAAGAAAUGCCAAUGAUGAAGACCACGGUCCAGAGGCCACAGGAUGAAACAGAGAAAGCCUACCUUGGAGAUACAACAACUGAGAUACCAUUUGAGUCACAAGAGCUAAGAACCGCCAUUGAAAAAGAAAGAAGAGACUUGGAACGCAGAGAGAAAAUGAUUAUGAGAGAGAAGUAUGACCUGGAAAAGUCAAAAGCCGAGUUUGAGAAGGAAAAGGCGGGGAUGGAGAACAUGAUCACAAAACAACGAGAGGAGAGCAGACAAAUGAUUGAGGACAUAGAAAAGAAAAAAGAAAAUCUCGAGCAAAUGGAUGCAGAGAUGCAAAGGAAAAGACAGGUCAUCGUAAGGGAAAUGCAAUAUAAAACACAAAAGAUGCAGGAUUUAAAAAAAGCAAAAGAUAAAUUUAAACAAACGCAAGUUAAAUUUAGCAAAGAGAAAAUUGAAAUGGGAAACAUCAAAAAGGCUACCUUGGCGGAAAGAAAUAAACUAGCAGUAGAGCAAGCUUACAUAGAGAAACGUAAGGAGGAGAUGGAAGCCAUCCUGGAAACGACAAAGAAGGAGAAUGAAGAUCUGCUGAACUUAAAAGCUCAAAUAGAGGGAUGGAAAGAAGACAAAGACGAACGGGGUGAACGCCUGAACAGGGAGAGAAAGGAACUUGAAUAUCUGAAAAGUAAGAUUCAAAAAGAAAAAGAGGAUACGAUAAGAAACAGGAACAUUUCGGAAAAAGAGAAAAAGGACUUGGAGCUGAUGAGAUCUGAAAUGCAGAAAGAAAAGGGGAAGAUGGAACAAGAGAAGCUUAAGGUACAAGUUGAGAGACAAAAGCUUGAACAAAUGAAACUGGAGUUACAGAGAAAGUCCAACGACCUAGAUAUGAUCAUAGAAGACACAAAGAGGGAGAAAGUCAGUGCAUCACAAAUUCCUGUCCAAAUACAACAACAAAAGAACCAAAUUGAUUGUUUUGUGGAAGAGACAAAGAGGAGUAAAAUCGAAGAAGAAUUGAUGAGCGCUGAAAUAAAAAGACAGAAAGAGGAGAUAGACAGCAAACAAGACAUUCUAUCAAAUGAGAGAGAAGAUCUGAAUAAACUCAGAACAGAGGUAAACAAUCAGAGAGAAGAGAUUGAAAAUAUCACGCAAGAGCAAAUUAAAGAAACAUUUCUAAUUAAUCAGACAAAGACAGAGAUGGAAAAAGAGAGAUGUGAGAUGGACAGAAUAAAGAAAAUGAUAGAGCAGAAUAUGGAUGAGCUAGAGCAGAGAAAGUGUGAGAUGAGAAAAGUAGAAAACAUAAUUAUCGAACUGAGAAAAGAAGAAGAGAGUAUAACGAAUGAGAUGAACAGGAUGAGAAAGAACACAGAGCAGAAAAGUUUUGAAAUGCAGAGACGGUCUGAAGACAUGAAUCAGCUAAUGGAUGAGACAAGACGGGAGAGGGGGAAGGUUGAAGAACUGGCUAUCCAAACUCAAAAACAAAGAGAAGAAAUGGUGGGUUUUAUGGAAAAGAACAAACAAAAGCAGAACGAACUGGAACUCAUGACUGACAAGAUUGAAAGAGAGAAACAAGACAUCGAAGACAGUCGGGAUGUGCUAACAAAGGAGAGAGAGGAGCUGGAACAAAUGAGGAGUGAGAUACAGCAACAGAGAGAGGAGACAGAAUCUCACAUGGAAGACCAAAGGAAAGAGAAAGAACAUUUGGAACAAAUGACGACGGACAUGAAAAAACAGUUGCUAGAGGUGGACAAUGACAAGGAAAUGAUACAAAGCUCAAUGGGUGAACUGAGAGUGAAAGAGGCAGAAAUGGUGAGAGAAAAAGACAACAUGGAUAACAAGAUGGCUAGGCUCAAAGAGGAAGAGGAUAGAAUGCGGGAAGAAAUAGGAAGGAAGAUGGACAUCUUAAAGCAGGAAAGUUGUGAAAUCAAAAGACUUAGAGAUGAAAUUGACAGUGAAAAGGACCAGCUGAAUGCAAAAUUGCUUGAGUUGGAAAAAAUGCAUGAAGAACUAGAUAGAGAGAAGAAGGAAGUGAAAGACAGGAAGGAUGAAACACUGAAAGAGAAAGAUCAGUUGGAAGAGAGGCGAGGUAAGAUAAGUAAGGAGAAAGAGGAAUUGGAUAUCAGUCUUGAUCUGAUGAAAAGACAAAGGGAAGACUUGAUGAGCUUGAAGGCUGAAGCAGAAGUACAGACCGAGCCUAUGGAAACAGACUGGAAGGAAAAGCUCACGAGGGAAAGACAACAACUUGAAGAUGUAAAGGAGGAGAUACAGAAGGAAAAAGAAGCCUUUGAGAGAAAGAAGGGAUUGACCGUGAAAGAAAGAGAUGAGUUUGAUCUGAUGAAGUCUGAAACCCAGGGACAAUUGGAGGAAAUAGAACAAAACAAACAAGACAUUCGUGUGGAGAAGGAAAAGCUGGAUCAGAUCAAAGCUGAGUUAGAAAGACGGUCUGAAGACAUCAAUCAGCUCAUGGAUGAGACAAGACGGGAGAGGGGGAAGGUUGACGAACUGGCUGUCCAAACCCAAAAACAAAGAGAAGAAAUGGUGGGUUUUAUGGAAAAGAACAAACAAAAGCAGAACGAACUGGAACUCAUGACUGACAAGAUUGAAAGAGAGAAACAAGACAUCGAAGACAGUCGGGAUGUGCUAACAAAGGAGAGAGUGGAGCUGGAACAAAUGAGGAGUGAGAUACAGCAACAGAGAGAGGAGACAGAAUCUCACAUGGAAGACCAAAGGAAAGAGAAAGAACAUUUGGAACAAAUGACGACGGACAUGAAAAAACAGUUGCUAGAGGUGGACAAUGACAAGGAAAUGAUACAAAGCUCAAUGGGUGAACUGAGAGUGAAAGAGGCAGAAAUGGUGAGAGAAAAAGACAACAUGGAUAACAAGAUGGCUAGGCUCAAAGAGGAAGAGGAUAGAAUGCGGGAAGAAAUAGGAAGGAAGAUGGACAUCUUAAAGCAGGAAAGUUGUGAAAUCAAAAGACUUAGAGAUGAAAUUGACAGUGAAAAGGACCAGCUGAAUGCAAAAUUGCUUGAGUUGGAAAAAAUGCAUGAAGAACUAGAUAGAGAGAAGAAGGAAGUGAAAGACAAGAAGGAUGAAACACUGAAAGAGAAAGAUCAGUUGGAAGAGAGGCGAGGGAAGAUAAGUAAGGAGAAAGAGGAAUUGGAUAUCAGUCUUGAACUGAUGAAAAGACAAAGGGAAGACUUGAUGAGCUUGAAGGCUGAAGCAGAAGUACAGACCGAGCCUAUGGAAACAGACUGGAAGGAAAAGCUCACGAGGGAAAGACAACAACUUGAAGAUGUAAAGGAGGAGAUACAGAAGGAAAAAGAAGCCUUUGAGAGAAAGAAGGGAUUGGCCAUGAAAGAAAGAGAUGAGUUUGAUCUGAUGAAGUCUGAAACCCAGGGACAAUUGGAGGAAAUAGAACAAAACAAACAAGACAUUCGUGUGGAGAAGGAAAAGCUGGAUCAGAUCAAAGCUGAGUUAGAAAGACGGUCUGAAGACAUCAAUCAGCUCAUGGUUGAGACAAGACGGGAGAGGGGGAAGGUUGAAGAACUGGCUAUCCAAACUAAAAAACAAAGAGAAGAAAUGGUGGGUUUUAUGGAAAAGAACAAACAAAAGCAAAACGAACUGGAACUCAUGACUGACAAGAUUGAAAGAGAGAAACAAGACAUCGAAGACAGUCGAGAUGUGCUAACAAAGGAGAGAGAGGAGCUGGAACAAAUGAGGAGUGAGAUACAGCAACAGAGAGAGGAGACAGAAUCUCACAUGGAAGACCAAAGGAAAGAGAAAGAACAUUUGGAACAAAUGACGACGGACAUGAAAAAACAGUUGCUAGAGGUGGACAAUGACAAGGAAAUGAUACAAAGCUCAAUGGGUGAACUGAGAGUGAAAGAGGCAGAAAUGGUGAGAGAAAAAGACAACAUGGAUAACAAGAUGGCUAGGCUCAAAGAGGAAGAGGAUAGAAUGCGGGAAGAAAUAGGAAGGAAGAUGGACAUCUUAAAGCAGGAAAGUUGUGAAAUCAAAAGACUUAGAGAUGAAAUUGACAGUGAAAAGGACCAGCUGAAUGCAAAAUUGCUUGAGUUGGAAAAAAUGCAUGAAGAACUAGAUAGAGAGAAGAAGGAAGUGAAAGACAGGAAGGAUGAAACACUGAAAGAGAAAGAUCAGUUGGAAGAGAGGCGAGGUAAGAUAAGUAAGGAGAAAGAGGAAUUGGAUAUCAGUCUUGAACUGAUGAAAAGACAAAGGGAAGACUUGAUGAGCUUGAAGGCUGAAGCAGAAGUACAGACCGAGCCUAUGGAAACAGACUGGAAGGAAAAGCUCACGAGGGAAAGACAACAACUUGAAGAUGUAAAGGAGGAGAUAGAGAAGGAAAAAGAAGCCAUUGAGAGAAAGAAGGGAUUGACCAUGAAAGAAAGAGAUGAGUUUGAUCUGAAGAAGUCUGAAACACAGGGACAAUUGGAGGAAAUAGAACAAAACAAACAAGACAUUCGUGUGGAGAAGGAAAAGCUGGAUCAGAUCAAAGCUGAGUUAGAAAGACGGUCUGAAGACAUCAAUCAGCUCAUGGAUGAGACAAGACGGGAGAGGGAGAAGGUUGAAGAACUGGCUAUCCAAACUCAAAAACAAAGAGAAGAAAUGGUGGGUUUUAUGGAAAAGAACAAACAAAAGCAGAACGAACUGGAACUCAUGACUGACAAGAUUGAAAGAGAGAAACGAGACAUCGAAGACAGUCGGGAUGUGCUAACAAAGGAGAGAGAUGAGCUGGAACAAAUGAGGAGUGAGAUACAGCAACAGAGAGAGGAGACAGAAUCUCACAUGGAAGACCAAAGGAAAGAGAAAGAACAUUUGGAACAAAUGACGACGGACAUGAAAAAACAGUUGCUAGAGGUGGACAAUGACAAGGAAAUGAUACAAAGCUCAAUGGGUGAACUGAGAGUGAAAGAGGCAGAAAUGGUGAGAGAAAAAGACAACAUGGAUAACAAGAUGGCUAGGCUCAAAGAGGAAGAGGAUAGAAUGCGGGAAGAAAUAGGAAGGAAGAUGGACAUCUUAAAGCAGGAAAGUUGUGAAAUCAAAAGACUUAGAGAUGAAAUUGACAGUGAAAAGGACCAGCUGAAUGCAAAAUUGCUUGAGUUGGAAAAAAUGCAUGAAGAACUAGAUAGAGAGAAGAAGGAAGUGAAAGACAGGAAGGAUGAAACACUGAAAGAGAAAGAUCAGUUGGAAGAGAGGCGAGGUAAGAUAAGUAAGGAGAAAGAGGAAUUGGAUAUCAGUCUUGAACUGAUGAAAAGACAAAGGGAAGACUUGAUGAGCUUGAAGGCUGAAGCAGAAGUACAGACCGAGCCUAUGGAAACAGACUGGAAGGAAAAGCUCACGAGGGAAAGACAACAACUUGAAGAUGUAAAGGAGGAGAUACAGAAGGAAAAAGAAGCCCUUGAGAGAAAGAAGGGAUUGACCAUGAAAGAAAGAGAUGAGUUUGAUCUGAUGAAGUCUGAAACCCAGGGACAAUUGGAGGAAAUAGAACAAAACAAACAAGACAUUCGUGUGGAGAAGGAAAAGCUGGAUCAGAUCAAAGCUGAGUUAGAAAGACGGUCUGAAGACAUCAAUCAGCUCAUGGAUGAGACAAGACGGGAGAGGGGGAAGGUUGAAGAACUGGCUAUCCAAACUCAAAAACAAAGAGAAGAAAUGGUGGGUUUUAUGGAAAAGAACAAACAAAAGCAGAACGAACUGGAACUCAUGACUGACAAGAUUGAAAGAGAGAAACAAGACAUCGAAGACAGUCGGGAUGUGCUAACAAAGGAGAGAGAGGAGCUGGAACAAAUGAGGAGUGAUAUACAGCAACAGAGAGAGGAGACAGAAUCUCACAUGGAAGACCAAAGGAAAGAGAAAGAACAUUUGGAACAAAUGACGACGGACAUGAAAAAACAGUUGCUAGAGGUGGACAAUGACAAGGAAAUUAUACAAAGCUCAAUGGGUGAACUGAGAGUGAAAGAGGCAGAAAUGGUGAGAGAAAAAGACAACAUGGAUAACAAGAUGGCUAGGCUCAAAGAGGAAGAGGAUAGAAUGCGGGAAGAAAUAGGAAGGAAGAUGGACAUCUUAAAGCAGGAAAGUUGUGAAAUCAAAAGACUUAGAGAUGAAAUUGACAGUGAAAAGGACCAGCUGAAUGCAAAAUUGCUUGAGUUGGAAAAAAUGCAUGAAGAACUAGAUAGAGAGAAGAAGGAAGUGAAAGACAGGAAGGAUGAAACACUGAAAGAGAAAGAUCAGUUGGAAGAGAGGCGAGGUAAGAUAAGUAAGGAGAAAGAGGAAUUGGAUAUCAGUCUUGAACUGAUGAAAAGACAAAGGGAAGACUUGAUGAGCUUGAAGGCUGAAGCAGAAGUACAGACCGAGCCUAUGGAAACAGACUGGAAGGAAAAGCUCACGAUGGAAAGACAACAACUUGAAGAUGUAAAGGAGGAGAUACAGAAGGAAAAAGAAGCCUUUGAGAGAAAGAAGGGAUUGACCAUGAAAGAAAGAGAUGAGUUUGAUCUGAUGAAGUCUGAAACCCAGGGACAAUUGGAGGAAAUAGAACAAAACAAACAAGACAUUCGUGUGGAGAAGGAAAAGGUGGAUCAGAUCAAAGCUGAGUUAGAAAGACGGUCUGAAGACAUCAAUCAGCUCAUGGAUGAGACAAGACAGGAGAGGGGGAAGGUUGAAGAACUGGCUAUCCAAACUCAAAAACAAAGAGAAGAAAUGGUGGGUUUUAUGGAAAAGAACAAACAAAAGCAGAACGAACUGGAACUCAUGACUGACAAGAUUGAAAGAGAGAAACAAGACAUCGAAGACAGUCGGGAUGUGCUAACAAAGGAGAGAGAGGAGCUGGAACAAAUGAGGAGUGAGAUACAGCAACAGAGAGAGGAGACAGAAUCUCACAUGGAAGACCAAAGGAAAGAGAAAGAACAUUUGGAACAAAUGACGACGGACAUGAAAAAACAGUUGCUAGAGGUGGACAAUGACAAGGAAAUGAUACAAAGCUCAAUGGGUGAACUGAGAGUGAAAGAGGCAGAAAUGGUGAGAGAAAAAGACAACAUGGAUAACAAGAUGGCUAGGCUCAAAGAGGAAGAGGAUAGAAUGCGGGAAGAAAUAGGAAGGAAGAUGGACAUCUUAAAGCAGGAAAGUUGUGAAAUCAAAAGACUUAGAGAUGAAAUUGACAGUGAAAAGGACCAGCUGUAUGCAAAAUUGCUUGAGUUGGAAAAAAUGCAUGAAGAACUAGAUAGAGAGAAGAAGGAAGUGAAAGACAGGAAGGAUGAAACACUGAAAGAGAAAGAUCAGUUGGAAGAGAGGCGAGGUAAGAUAAGUAAGGAGAAAGAGGAAUUGGAUAUCAGUCUUGAACUGAUGAAAAGACAAAGGGAAGACUUGAUGAGCUUGAAGGAUGAAGCAGAAGUACAGACCGAGCCUAUGGAAACAGACUGGAAGGAAAAGCUCACGAGGGAAAGACAACAACUUGAAGAUGUAAAGGAGGAGAUACAGAAGGAAAAAGAAGCCUUUGAGAGAAAGAAGGGAUUGACCAUGAAAGAAAGAGAUGAGUUUGAUCUGAUGAAGUCUGAAACCCAGGGACAAUUGGAGGAAAUAGAACAAAACAAACAAGACAUUCGUGUGGAGAAGGAAAAGCUGGAUCAGAUCAAAGCUGAGUUAGAAAGACGGUCUGAAGACAUCAAUCAGCUCAUGGAUGAGACAAGACAGGAGAGGGGGAAGGUUGAAGAACUGGCUAUCCAAACUCAAAAACAAAGAGAAGAAAUGGUGGGUUUUAUGGAAAAGAACAAACAAAAGCAGAACGAACUGGAACUCAUGACUGACAAGAUUGAAAGAGAGAAACAAGACAUCGAAGACAGUCGGGAUGUGCUAACAAAGGAGAGAGAGGAGCUGGAACAAAUGAGGAGUGAGAUACAGCAACAGAGAGAGGAGACAGAAUCUCACAUGGAAGACCAAAGGAAAGAGAAAGAACAUUUGGAACAAAUGACGACGGACAUGAAAAAACAGUUGCUAGAGGUGGACAAUGACAAGGAAAUGAUACAAAGCUCAAUGGGUGAACUGAGAGUGAAAGAGGCAGAAAUGGUGAGAGAAAAAGACAACAUGGAUAACAAGAUGGCUAGGCUCAAAGAGGAAGAGGAUAGAAUGCGGGAAGAAAUAGGAAGGAAGAUGGACAUCUUAAAGCAGGAAAGUUGUGAAAUCAAAAGACUUAGAGAUGAAAUUGACAGUGAAAAGGACCAGCUGUAUGCAAAAUUGCUUGAGUUGGAAAAAAUGCAUGAAGAACUAGAUAGAGAGAAGAAGGAAGUGAAAGACAGGAAGGAUGAAACACUGAAAGAGAAAGAUCAGUUGGAAGAGAGGCGAGGUAAGAUAAGUAAGGAGAAAGAGGAAUUGGAUAUCAGUCUUGAACUGAUGAAAAGACAAAGGGAAGACUUGAUGAGCUUGAAGGAUGAAGCAGAAGUACAGACCGAGCCUAUGGAAACAGACUGGAAGGAAAAGCUCACGAGGGAAAGACAACAACUUGAAGAUGUAAAGGAGGAGAUACAGAAGGAAAAAGAAGCCUUUGAGAGAAAGAAGGGAUUGACCAUGAAAGAAAGAGAUGAGUUUGAUCUGAUGAAGUCUGAAACCCAGGGACAAUUGGAGGAAAUAGAACAAAACAAACAAGACAUUCGUGUGGAGAAGGAAAAGCUGGAUCAGAUCAAAGCUGAGUUAGAAAGACGGUCUGAAGACAUCAAUCAGCUCAUGGAUGAGACAAGACAGGAGAGGGGGAAGGUUGAAGAACUGGCUAUCCAAACUCAAAAACAAAGAGAAGAAAUGGUGGGUUUUAUGGAAAAGAACAAACAAAAGCAGAACGAACUGGAACUCAUGACUGACAAGAUUGAAAGAGAGAAACGAGACAUCGAAGACAGUCGGGAUGUGCUAACAAAGGAGAGAGAGGAGCUGGAACAAAUGAGGAGUGAGAUACAGCAACAGAGAGAGGAGACAGAAUCUCACAUGGAAGACCAAAGGAAAGAGAAAGAACAUUUGGAACAAAUGACGACGGACAUGAAAAAACAGUUGCUAGAGGUGGACAAUGACAAGGAAAUGAUACAAAGCUCAAUGGGUGAACUGAGAGUGAAAGAGGCAGAAAUGGUGAGAGAAAAAGACAACAUGGAUAACAAGAUGGCUAGGCUCAAAGAGGAAGAGGAUAGAAUGCGGGAAGAAAUAGGAAGGAAGAUGGACAUCUUAAAGCAGGAAAGUUGUGAAAUCAAAAGACUUAGAGAUGAAAUUGACAGUGAAAAGGACCAGCUGUAUGCAAAAUUGCUUGAGUUGGAAAAAAUGCAUGAAGAACUAGAUAGAGAGAAGAAGGAAGUGAAAGACAGGAAGGAUGAAACACUGAAAGAGAAAGAUCAGUUGGAAGAGAGGCGAGGUAAGAUAAGUAAGGAGAAAGAGGAAUUGGAUAUCAGUCUUGAACUGAUGAAAAGACAAAGGGAAGACUUGAUGAGCUUGAAGGAUGAAGCAGAAGUACAGACCGAGCCUAUGGAAACAGACUGGAAGGAAAAGCUCACGAGGGAAAGACAACAACUUGAAGAUGUAAAGGAGGAGAUACAGAAGGAAAAAGAAGCCUUUGAGAGAAAGAAGGGAUUGACCAUGAAAGAAAGAGAUGAGUUUGAUCUGAUGAAGUCUGAAACCCAGGGACAAUUGGAGGAAAUAGAACAAAACAAACAAGACAUUCGUGUGGAGAAGGAAAAGCUGGAUCAGAUCAAAGCUGAGUUAGAAAGACGGUCUGAAGACAUCAAUCAGCUCAUGGAUGAGACAAGACGGGAGAGGGGGAAGGUUGAAGAACUGGCUAUCCAAACUCAAAAACAAAGAGAAGAAAUGGUGGGUUUUAUGGAAAAGAACAAACAAAAGCAGAACGAACUGGAUCUCAUGACUGACAAGAUUGAAAGAGAGAAACAAGACAUCGAAGACAGUCGGGAUGUGCUAACAAAGGAGAGAGAGGAGCUGGAACAAAUGAGGAGUGAGAUACAGCAACAGAGAGAGGAGACAGAAUCUCACAUGGAAGACCAAAGGAAAGAGAAAGAACAUUUGGAACAAAUGACGACGGACAUGAAAAAACAGUUGCUAGAGGUGGACAAUGACAAGGAAAUGAUACAAAGCUCAAUGGGUGAACUGAGAGUGAAAGAGGCAGAAAUGGUGAGAGAAAAAGACAACAUGGAUAACAAGAUGGCUAGGCUCAAAGAGGAAGAGGAUAGAAUGCGGGAAGAAAUAGGAAGGAAGAUGGACAUCUUAAAGCAGGAAAGUUGUGAAAUCAAAAGACUUAGAGAUGAAAUUGACAGUGAAAAGGACCAGCUGUAUGCAAAAUUGCUUGAGUUGGAAAAAAUGCAUGAAGAACUAGAUAGAGAGAAGAAGGAAGUGAAAGACAGGAAGGAUGAAACACUGAAAGAGAAAGAUCAGUUGGAAGAGAGGCGAGGUAAGAUAAGUAAGGAGAAAGAGGAAUUGGAUAUCAGUCUUGAACUGAUGAAAAGACAAAGGGAAGACUUGAUGAGCUUGAAGGCUGAAGCAGAAGUACAGACCGAGCCUAUGGAAACAGACUGGAAGGAAAAGCUCACGAGGGAAAGACAACAACUUGAAGAUGUAAAGGAGGAGAUACAGAAGGAAAAAGAAGCCCUUGAGAGAAAGAAGGGAUUGACCAUGAAAGAAAGAGAUGAGUUUGAUCUGAUGAAGUCUGAAACCCAGGGACAAUUGGAGGAAAUAGAACAAAACAAACAAGACAUUCGUGUGGAGAAGGAAAAGCUGGAUCAGAUCAAAGCUGAGUUAGAAAGACGGUCUGAAGACAUCAAUCAGCUCAUGGAUGAGACAAGACGGGAGAGGGGGAAGGUUGAAGAACUGGCUAUCCAAACUCAAAAACAAAGAGAAGAAAUGGUGGGUUUUAUGGAAAAGAACAAACAAAAGCAGAACGAACUGGAUCUCAUGACUGACAAGAUUGAAAGAGAGAAACAAGACAUCGAAGACAGUCGGGAUGUGCUAACAAAGGAGAGAGAGGAGCUGGAACAAAUGAGGAGUGAGAUACAGCAACAGAGAGAGGAGACAGAAUCUCACAUGGAAGACCAAAGGAAAGAGAAAGAACAUUUGGAACAAAUGACGACGGACAUGAAAAAACAGUUGCUAGAGGUGGACAAUGACAAGGAAAUGAUACAAAGCUCAAUGGGUGAACUGAGAGUGAAAGAGGCAGAAAUGGUGAGAGAAAAAGACAACAUGGAUAACAAGAUGGCUAGGCUCAAAGAGGAAGAGGAUAGAAUGCGGGAAGAAAUAGGAAGGAAGAUGGACAUCUUAAAGCAGGAAAGUUGUGAAAUCAAAAGACUUAGAGAUGAAAUUGACAGUGAAAAGGACCAGCUGUAUGCAAAAUUGCUUGAGUUGGAAAAAAUGCAUGAAGAACUAGAUAGAGAGAAGAAGGAAGUGAAAGACAGGAAGGAUGAAACACUGAAAGAGAAAGAUCAGUUGGAAGAGAGGCGAGGUAAGAUAAGUAAGGAGAAAGAGGAAUUGGAUAUCAGUCUUGAACUGAUGAAAAGACAAAGGGAAGACUUGAUGAGCUUGAAGGCUGAAGCAGAAGUACAGACCGAGCCUAUGGAAACAGACUGGAAGGAAAAGCUCACGAGGGAAAGACAACAACUUGAAGAUGUAAAGGAGGAGAUACAGAAGGAAAAAGAAACCUUUGAGAGAAAGAAGGGAUUGACCAUGAAAGAAAGAGAUGAGUUUGAUCUGAUGAAGUCUGAAACCCAGGGACAAUUGGAGGAAAUAGAACAAAACAAACAAGACAUUCGUGUGGAGAAGGAAAAGCUGGAUCAGAUCAAAGCUGAGUUAGAAAGACGGUCUGAAGACAUCAAUCAGCUCAUGGAUGAGACAAGACGGGAGAGGGGGAAGGUUGAAGAACUGGCUAUCCAAACUCAAAAACAAAGAGAAGAAAUGGUGGGUUUUAUGGAAAAGAACAAACAAAAGCAGAACGAACUGGAUCUCAUGACUGACAAGAUUGAAAGAGAGAAACAAGACAUCGAAGACAGUCGGGAUGUGCUAACAAAGGAGAGAGAGGAGCUGGAACAAAUGAGGAGUGAGAUACAGCAACAGAGAGAGGAGACAGAAUCUCACAUGGAAGACCAAAGGAAAGAGAAAGAACAUUUGGAACAAAUGACGACGGACAUGAAAAAACAGUUGCUAGAGGUGGACAAUGACAAGGAAAUGAUACAAAGCUCAAUGGGUGAACUGAGAGUGAAAGAGGCAGAAAUGGUGAGAGAAAAAGACAACAUGGAUAACAAGAUGGCUAGGCUCAAAGAGGAAGAGGAUAGAAUGCGGGAAGAAAUAGGAAGGCAGAUGGACAUCUUAAAGCAGGAAAGUUGUGAAAUCAAAAGACUUAGAGAUGAAAUUGACAGUGAAAAGGACCAGCUGUAUGCAAAAUUGCUUGAGUUGGAAAAAAUGCAUGAAGAACUAGAUAGAGAGAAGAAGGAAGUGAAAGACAGGAAGGAUGAAACACUGAAAGAGAAAGAUCAGUUGGAAGAGAGGCGAGGUAAGAUAAGUAAGGAGAAAGAGGAAUUGGAUAUCAGUCUUGAACUGAUGAAAAGACAAAGGGAAGACUUGAUGAGCUUGAAGGCUGAAGCAGAAGUACAGACCGAGCCUAUGGAAACAGACUGGAAGGAAAAGCUCACGAGGGAAAGACAACAACUUGAAGAUGUAAAGGAGGAGAUACAGAAGGAAAAAGAAGCCCUUGAGAGAAAGAAGGGAUUGACCAUGAAAGAAAGAGAUGAGUUUGAUCUGAUGAAGUCUGAAACCCAGGGACAAUUGGAGGAAAUAGAACAAAACAAACAAGACAUUCGUGUGGAGAAGGAAAAGCUGGAUCAGAUCAAAGCUGAGUUAGAAAGACGGUCUGAAGACAUCAAUCAGCUCAUGGAUGAGACAAGACGGGAGAGGGGGAAGGUUGAAGAACUGGCUAUCCAAACUCAAAAACAAAGAGAAGAAAUGGUGGGUUUUAUGGAAAAGAACAAACAAAAGCAGAACGAACUGGAACUCAUGACUGACAAGAUUGAAAGAGAGAAACAAGACAUCGAAGACAGUCGGGAUGUGCUAACAAAGGAGAGAGAGGAGCUGGAACAAAUGAGGAGUGAGAUACAGCAACAGAGAGAGGAGACAGAAUCUCACAUGGAAGACCAAAGGAAAGAGAAAGAACAUUUGGAACAAAUGACGACGGACAUGAAAAAACAGUUGCUAGAGGUGGACAAUGACAAGGAAAUUAUACAAAGCUCAAUGGGUGAACUGAGAGUGAAAGAGGCAGAAAUGGUGAGAGAAAAAGACAACAUGGAUAACAAGAUGGCUAGGCUCAAAGAGGAAGAGGAUAGAAUGCGGGAAGAAAUAGGAAGGAAGAUGGACAUCUUAAAGCAGGAAAGUUGUGAAAUCAAAAGACUUAGAGAUGAAAUUGACAGUGAAAAGGACCAGCUGAAUGCAAAAUUGCUUGAGUUGGAAAAAAUGCGUGAAGAACAAGAUAGAGAGAAGAAGGAAGUGAAAGACAGGAAGGAUGAAACACUGAAAGAGAAAGAUCAGUUGGAAGAGAGGCGAGGUAAGAUAAGUAAGGAGAAAGAGGAAUUGGAUAUCAGUCUUGAACUGAUGAAAAGACAAAGGGAAGACUUGACGAGCUUGAAGGCUGAAGCAGAAGUACAGACCGAACCUAUGGAAACAGACUGGAAGGAAAAGCUCACGAUGGAAAGACAACAACUUGAAGAUGUAAAGGAGGAGAUACAGAAGGAAAAAGAAACCUUUGAGAGAAAGAAGGGAUUGACCAUGAAAGAAAGAGAUGAGUUUGAUCUGAUGAAGUCUGAAACCCAGGGACAAUUGGAGGAAAUAGAACAAAACAAACAAGACAUUCGUGUGGAGAAGGAAAAGCUGGAUCAGAUCAAAGCUGAGUUAGAAAGACGGUCUGAAGACAUCAAUCAUGUCAUGGAUGAGACAAGACGGGAGAGGGGGAAGGUUGAAGAACUGGCUAUCCAAACUCAAAAACAAAGAGAAGACAUGGUGGGUUUUAUGGAAAAGAACAAACAAAAGCAGAACGAACUGGAACUCAUGAAUGACAAGAUUGAAAGAGAGAAACAAGACAUCGAAGACAGUCGGGAUGUGCUAACAAAGGAGAGAGUGGAGCUGGAACAAAUGAGGAGUGAGAUACAGCAACAGAGAGAGGAGACAGAAUCUCACAUGGAAGACCAAAGGAAAGAGAAAGAGCAUUUGGAACAAAUGACGACGGACAUGAAAAAACAGUUGCUAGAGGUGGACAAUGACAAGGAAAUGAUACAAAGUUCAAUGGGUGAACUGAGAGUGAAAGAGGCAGAAAUGGUGAGAGAAAAAGACAACAUGGAUAACAAGAUGGCUAGGCUCAAUGAGGAAGAGGAUAGAAAGCGGGAAGAAAUAGGAAGGAAAAUGGACAUCUUAAAGCAGGAAAGUUGUGAAAUCACAAGACUUAGAGAUGAAAUUGACAGUGAAAAGGACCAGCUGAAUGCAAAAUUGCUUGAGUUGGAAAAAAUGCGUGAAGAACUAGAUAGACAGAAGAAGGAAGUGAAAGACAGGAAGGAUGAAACACUGAAAGAGAAAGAUCAGUUGGAAGAGAGGCGAGGUAAGAUAAGUAAGGAGAAAGAGGAAUUGGAUAUCAGUCUUGAACUGAUGAAAAGACAAAGGGAAGACUUGACGAGCUUGAAGGCUGAAGCAGAAGUACAGACCGAACCUAUGGAAACAGACUGGAAGGAAAAGCUCACGAGGGAAAGACAACAACUUCAAGAUGUAAAGGAGGAGAUACAGAAGGAAAAAGAAACCUUUGAGAGAAAGAAGGGAUUGACCAUGAAAGAAAGAGAUGAGUUUGAUCUGAUGAAGUCUGAAACCCAGGGACAAUUGGAGGAAAUAGAACAAAACAAACAAGACAUUCGUGUGGAGAAGGAAAAGCUGGAUCAGAUCAAAGCUGAGUUAGAAAGACGGUCUGAAGACAUCAAUCAUGCUCAUGGAUGAGACAAGACGGGAGAGGGGGAAGGUUGAAGAACUGGCUAUCCAAACUCAAAAACAAAGAGAAGACAUGGUGGGUUUUAUGGAAAAGAACAAACAAAAGCAGAACGAACUGGAACUCAUGAAUGACAAGAUUGAAAGAGAGAAACAAGACAUCGAAGACAGUCGGGAUGUGCUAACAAAGGAGAGAGUGGAGCUGGAACAAAUGAGGAGUGAGAUACAGCAACAGAGAGAGGAGACAGAAUCUCACAUGGAAGACCAAAGGAAAGAGAAAGAGCAUUUGGAACAAAUGACGACGGACAUGAAAAAACAGUUGCUAGAGGUGGACAAUGACAAGGAAAUGAUACAAAGUUCAAUGGGUGAACUGAGAGUGAAAGAGGCAGAAAUGGUGAGAGAAAAAGACAACAUGGAUAACAAGAUGGCUAGGCUCAAUGAGGAAGAGGAUAGAAAGCGGGAAGAAAUAGGAAGGAAAAUGGACAUCUUAAAGCAGGAAAGUUGUGAAAUCACAAGACUUAGAGAUGAAAUUGACAGUGAAAAGGACCAGCUGAAUGCAAAAUUGCUUGAGUUGGAAAAAAUGCGUGAAGAACUAGAUAGACAGAAGAAGGAAGUGAAAGACAGGAAGGAUGAAACACUGAAAGAGAAAGAUCAGUUGGAAGAGAGGCGAGGUAAGAUAAGUAAGGAGAAAGAGGAAUUGGAUAUCAGUCUUGAACUGAUGAAAAGACAAAGGGAAGACUUGACGAGCUUGAAGGCUGAAGCAGAAGUACAGACCGAACCUAUGGAAACAGACUGGAAGGAAAAGCUCACGAGGGAAAGACAACAACUUCAAGAUGUAAAAGAGGAGAUACAGAAGGAAAAAGAAACCUUUGAGAGAAAGAAGGGAUUGACCAUGAAAGAAAGAGAUGAGUUUGAUCUGAUGAAGUCUGAAACCCAGGGACAAUUGGAGGAAAUAGAACAAAACAAACAAGACAUUCGUGUGGAGAAGGAAAAGCUGGAUCAGAUCAAAGCUGAGUUAGAAAGACGGUCUGAAGACAUCAAUCAUGUCAUGGAUGAGACAAGACGGGAGAGGGGGAAGGUUGAAGAACUGGCUAUCCAAACUCAAAAACAAAGAGAAGACAUGGUGGGUUUUAUGGAAAAGAACAAACAAAAGCAGAACGAACUGGAACUCAUGAAUGACAAGAUUGAAAGAGAGAAACAAGACAUCGAAGACAGUCGGGAUGUGCUAACAAAGGAGAGAGUGGAGCUGGAACAAAUGAGGAGUGAGAUACAGCAACAGAGAGAGGAGACAGAAUCUCACAUGGAAGACCAAAGGAAAGAGAAAGAGCAUUUGGAACAAAUGACGACGGACAUGAAAAAACAGUUGCUAGAGGUGGACAAUGACAAGGAAAUGAUACAAAGCUCAAUGGGUGAACUGAGAGUGAAAGAGGCAGAAAUGGUGAGAGAAAAAGACAACAUGGAUAACAAGAUGGCUAGGCUCAAAGAGGAAGAGGAUGGAAUGCGGGAAGAAAUAGGAAGGAAGAUGGACAUCUUAAAGCAGGAAAGUUGUGAAAUCAAAAGACUUAGAGAUGAAAUUGACAGUGAAAAGGACCAGCUGAAUGCAAAAUUGCUUGAGUUGGAGAAAAUGCGUGAAGAACUAGAAAGAGAGAAGAAGGAAGUGAACAACAGGAAGGAUGAAACACUGAAAGAGAAAGAUCAGUUGGAAGAGAGGCGAGGUAAGAUGAGCAAGGAGAAAGAGGAAUUGGAUAUCAGUCUUGAACUGAUGAAAAGACAAGGGGAAGACUUGACGAGCUUGAAGGCUGAAGCAGACGCACAGACCGAGGCUAUGGAAACAGACUGGAAGGAAAAGCUCACGAUGGAAAGACAACAACUUGAAGAUGUAAAGGAGGAGAUACAGAAGGAAAAAGAAGCCUUUGAGAGAAAGAAGGGAUUGACCAUGAAAGAAAGAGAUGAGUUUGAUCUGAUGAAGUCUGAAACCCAGGGACAAUUGGAGGAAAUAGAACAAAACAAACAAGACAUUCGUGUGGAGAAGGAAAAGCUGGAUCAGAUCAAAGCUGAGUUAGAAAGACGGUCUGAAGACAUCAAUCAGCUCAUGGAUGAGACAAGACGGGAGAGGGGGAAGGUUGAAGAACUGGCUAUCCAAACUCAAAAACAAAGAGAAGAAAUGGUGGGUUUUAUGGAAAAGAACAAACAAAAGCAGAACGAACUGGAACUCAUGAAUGACAAGAUUGAAAGAGAGAAACAAGACAUCGAAGAAAGUUGGGAUGUGCUAACAAAGGAGAGAGAGGAGCUGGAACAAAUGAGGAGUGAGAUACAGCAACAGAGAGAGGAGACAGAAUCUCACAUGGAAGACCAAAGGAAAGAGAAAGAACAUUUGGAACAAAUGACGACGGACAUGAAAAAACAGUUGCUAAAGGUGGACAAUGACAAGGAAAUGAUACAAAGCUCAAUGUGUGAACUGAGAGUGAAAGAGGCAGAAAUGGUGAGAGAAAAAGACAACAUGGAUAACAAGAUGGCUAGGCUCAAAGAGGAAGAGGAUGGAAUGCGGGAAGAAAUAGGAAGGAAGAUGGACAUCUUAAAGCAGGAAAGUUGUGAAACCAAAAGACUAAGAGAUGAAAUUGACAGUGAAAAGGACCAGCUGAAUGCAAAAUUGCUUGAGUUGGAAAAAAUGCGUGAAGAACUAGAUAGAGAGAAGAAGGAAGUGAAAGACAGGAAGGAUGAAACACUGAAAGAGAAAGAUCAGUUGGAAGAGAGGCGAGGUAAGAUAAGUAAGGAGAAAGAGGAAUUGGAUAUCAGUCUUGAACUGAUGAAAAGACAAAGGGAAGACUUGACAAGCUUGAAGGCUGAAGCAGAAGUACAGACCGAACCUAUGGAAACAGACUGGAAGGAAAAGCUCACGAUGGAAAGACAACAACUUGAAGAUGUAAAGGAGGAGAUACAGAAGGAAAAAGAAGCCUUUGAGAGAAAGAAGGGUUUGACCAUGAAAGAAAGAGAUGAGUUUGAUCUGAUGAAGUCUGAAACACAGGGACAAUUGGAGGAAAUAGAACAAAACAAACAAGACAUUCGUGUGGAGAAGGAAAAGCUGGAUCAGAUCAAAGCUGAGUUAGAAAGACGGUCUGAAGACAUCAAUCAGCUCAUGGAUGAGACAAGACGGGAGAGGGGGAAGGUUGAAGAACUGGCUAUCCAAACUCAAAAACAAAGAGAAGAAAUGGUGGGUUUUAUGGAAAAGAACAAACAAAAGCAGAACGAACUGGAACUCAUGAAUGACAAGAUUGAAAGAGAGAAACAAGACAUCGAAGACAGUCGGGAUGUGCUAACAAAGGAGAGAGUGGAGCUGGAACAAAUGAGGAGUGAGAUACAGCAACAGAGAGAGGAGACAGAAUCUCACAUGGAAGACCAAAGGAAAGAGAAAGAGCAUUUGGAACAAAUGACGACGGACAUGAAAAAACAGUUGCUAGAGGUGGACAAUGACAAGGAAAUGAUACAAAGCUCAAUGGGUGAACUGAGAGUGAAAGAGGCAGAAAUGGUGAGAGAAAAAGACAACAUGGAUAACAAGAUGGCUAGGCUCAAAGAGGAAGAGGAUGGAAUGCGGGAAGAAAUAGGAAGGAAGAUGGACAUCUUAAAGCAGGAAAGUUGUGAAAUCAAAAGACUUAGAGAUGAAAUUGACAGUGAAAAGGACCAGCUGAAUGCAAAAUUGCUUGAGUUGGAGAAAAUGCGUGAAGAACUAGAAAGAGAGAAGAAGGAAGUGAACAACAGGAAGGAUGAAACACUGAAAGAGAAAGAUCAGUUGGAAGAGAGGCGAGGUAAGAUGAGCAAGGAGAAAGAGGAAUUGGAUAUCAGUCUUGAACUGAUGAAAAGACAAAGGGAAGACUUGACAAGCUUGAAGGCUGAAGCAGAAGUACAGACCGAAGCCUAUGGAAACAGACUGGAAGGAAAAGCUCACGAUGGAAAGACAACAACUUGAAGAUGUAAAGGAGGAGAUACAGAAGGAAAAAGAAGCCUUUGAGAGAAAGAAGGGUUUGACCAUGAAAGAAAGAGAUGAGUUUGAUCUGAUGAAGUCUGAAACACAGGGACAAUUGGAGGAAAUAGAACAAAACAAACAAGACAUUCGUGUGGAGAAGGAAAAGCUGGAUCAGAUCAAAGCUGAGUUAGAAAGACGGUCUGAAGACAUCAAUCAGCUCAUGGAUGAGACAAGACGGGAGAGGGGGAAGGUUGAAGAACUGGCUAUCCAAACUCAAAAACAAAGAGAAGAAAUGGUGGGUUUUAUGGAAAAGAACAAACAAAAGCAGAACGAACUGGAACUCAUGAAUGACAAGAUUGAAAGAGAGAAACAAGACAUCGAAGACAGUCGGGAUGUGCUAACAAAGGAGAGAGAGGAGCUGGAACAAAUGAGGAGUGAGAUACAGCAACAA
rnacentral:lncRNA from 1 species